UGAAGCGGCAACAGCUCAAAUUUGAAAGCUAGCCUUCGGGUUCGCAUUGUAAUUUGUANAGGAUGAUUUGGGGAAGCCGCCUGUCUAAGUUCCUUGGAACAGGACGUCAUAGAGGGUGAGAAUCCCGUAUGUGACAGGAAAUGGCACCCUAUGUAAAUCUCCUUCGACGAGUCGAGUUGUUUGGGAAUGCAGCUCUAAAUGGGAGGUAAAUUUCUUCUAAAGCUAAAUAUUGGCGAGAGACCGAUAGCGCACAAGUAGAGUGAUCGAAAGAUGAAAAGCACUUUGGAAAGAGAGUUAAAAAGCACGUGAAAUUGUUGAAAGGGAAGCGCUUGCAAUCAGACUUGUUUAAACUGUUCGGCCGGUCUUCUGACCGGUUUACUCAGUUUGGACAGGCCAGCAUCAGUUUCGGCGGCCGGAUAAAGGCUCUGGGAAUGUGGCCUCCACUUCGGUGGAGGUGUUAUAGCCCAGGGUGUAAUACGGCCAGCCGGGACUGAGGUCCGCGCUUCGGCUAGGAUGCUGGCGUAAUGGUUGUAAGCGACCCGUCUUGAA
rnacentral:rRNA from 1 species